CCAGCUCUACCUGCUCAUGAAUUCUUCCUCAGUCAGAGUCAAGAGCUCUUUUCCUAGGUUAAGGUCUCACCUAGUGCACAGGGAGAUCUCCCCAGCUGAACUGCCAACAACAGUGUUAAGAAACAAAAUUUAACCAAGUACAUUUGAAGACCUACGUGGCUUAUUAACAAUUCAUGAAUCAGACAGUAUCUCAUCUGAUUGGUUUGUGGAACCCUGUACCAAGCACGUCUGUUGGCAUUGAAAGUGAGCCGGCACAGCGAAGCGCAAGAGGGAGUCUAUUUUAAAUUAAACCUCCUCCAUUUAAAAUUACGUUAAAGGUUUAAAGCUUAUCUUAUAGAAACAUUGAAGACAGAGGUCCCUGACCAGGUUCUGGGAAGGCCAGUGAGUCAACAUCUGCUGACGGUGAAGUGGCACCAACAGAAGCUGAAAGAUGGAGAUAACAUCACGAGAUAAGUCACCAAUGCCAUUCCUCCCGGCCCCUCGCCUUCUGAAACUGCCCUCCGGAGCCCCAUGUACAACCCCUUUGAGCAGCUCAGCAU